rnacentral:ribozyme from 14 species
AAGGGAUGGGAAUAUUUAACUCUGGGGGGAUUGACAUAAUGUAAUUGUAUGUUUCUUUCUGUUUUUUCCUUCUGUAUUUUUGUUUUGUGUCUUACUAUUUGUUCGAAAAGCUACGAUUGAUAUCA